CACACGUCUUCUUACUUCUUAAUUUUCAAUUACCAACUGCUACGAACGAAUUAUAAAAUUGUUUUUCAAAUUUGAACAUAAUGAUUUUCGUGGUGAAAUUCAAAAGCAACAAAACGAAGUUUCCCAGAACUAAGAAAAUCUCAUAUUUUCCCGGAAAAUGUUUACGAUUGUAAAAUUCCCCCAAUUUCAAUAACCCUCAAACAUAUAUAAAUCUAUACCCUCACUCACAAAAUUUACCUCAAUCGAUUCUCUUUCUCUUAAUCAAUCCUCCAAUGGCCGCAAUUCAGCGCUUCUUACUUCCGCUUGCCCUAAUUUCUCUUCUCCUUUUCUCUGAAUCUCUCGCAGCCAUCUCCUCUACCGAUCAUGGCCAGAAUUCUAAUCGGCGAGGGGACAAGGGUUCCGACACCUCCUUGGCCGGAAAGAUCAUUAGUAAAAGAGGAGUUCGGUCCGGCGUAACUGCAGGUCGUUCGACUUCGUCGUCGUCCGCCCAAAUGUCGUCGUCGUUCUUUAAUGUCGGCUCUUUGAUUUGUUUCAACAUAGCGUUUGUGUUUGCGAUGUUCUUGUGAAUUUUUGACUCUUAUACGAUGCUCCAUUCAAUUCAUUUAAUUUUUGUUACACAAACUUAAAGCUCGUUGGGAUCAAAUUGCAAAAACAAUCGAUCGUGUUCAUGCAAAUUGUUUGUUUGAUUUGAGCCGUUCAAUUUUAUAUAUAGUAUUAAUAGGUCGAUUUGAUUUAGCAUUUGAUUCACAAAUCAAAAACCAAACUGCACCAAAAGAAUUCAUAUCCAUGGCUGAUCUUAUAUGGUUGUGAAUGGAUUAUACAAAUUUGAACGAAAAAAGAAAAAAGCUUCAAAUUCAAACCCUUCUAAUAUUAGUCUCCUCCUUUUUAUGUUUCUCCUUUCCUUCUUCUUUCAAUGGAUUUCCCAUUCCCGUUCUCAUUCCCUCAUAAAUUCAUAUCCAUGGCUGAUCCUAAACCCCUCCAUGUUCUCUUAAUAAUGGCGCCUCUUCUUCUUCUUCUGGCCUCACAACUCAACUCGAUCUUCGCUCAAACAGAUUCACCAACUCCUCCCAAUCUUCCCCAACAAACAAUCAACAAAGAACGCCUCCCUUCCUCCGAUCCACAUCUUUCUCCACCUCUUAGCAACCAAAGAGCAGCUCGAAACAAUACCAAAGCGCAUCGUCGUGAUCAACUCGCCGAUACUAGACUCUCUCUCAAACGCUUGAGAUCUAAUCGUGAUUCGAUUCGGAAACGUCGAAGACGCAAUCACCUACGUGCUUGGCAUCGCAGCUAUUCCUCCCGUGGUUGUCUUCCGACGGUUUCUUUGUUGUACAUUUGGUUCGGAAUUCUUUGGUCCAUUUCUGCAUAAUCUAGUUUGUUUUAACUCACAUCGAUGAUGAAGAAAUCUAGGGGUAAUGUUUUUUUCUCUUUUCACUGCCAUUGUAUGCAAAAGGUUUUGUUGAUUCAAUUUUGAUAAUGAAGAGGAUAUGGGGAUUUGUUUGGUCUGAUCAUGAACUUUGUUUUUUGUUUGCUAUAAAGGUUUUUUGUGUUGUAGUGGGAAAAUAAAUGGAAUAGAAUUUUGAUUUGGGGAACAAUAUGAGAGGAAAGGAAUUAUAUUCUUUUUAUCAUCUGAUCAAAGCAAUAUUUUCCCAUCUCUUCUUCUUCUUCUUCUUUAAUUCAAACACACCUUUUCCUUUUUCCUUCUCCAAUAUCUCUUCAAGAACCUUAUCACUUUCGAAUCAUAUUAAAAGCACAAAUUUUUUUCUUUUUUUAUUUUUUUCUCCUAUUUUUACUUCAUUUUUAAAUGGAAAAUAUAUAUAUUCUAACUCAUGAAAUAAUAAAAAUCAAAUUUAGGAGUAAUAUCAAUCUAUACUUAUAAAUUUCGAGAGGAUUUAUCUAUUUAGAUCAUGGAAUGUAUCGAUUUAUACUAUGGACUUUUGUAAUCGUAUCAAUGUACACUCUCUCUUACGUUUCAUUUGAAAAAAUAUAUGUGAAAUUUAGAAUUGUAUCAAUUAAACACUAUCUUUCUUUAAAUAAAUAAAUCCUCAACUUUCAUAAAUGAAUUUAUUUCGACUCUUCGACACAAUUUGUUUUGAAAUCUAUUCAUAUAUUUACUUUAACCAUGCAUUUUGCAAAGUUAAUAUUUAAAGUAGUCUAGAUAAUUUUUAAAAGUAAUUAUAAUAAAGAGUUUUAAAUUAAUUAACUUAUUAAAACUUAAGGAGUUGAAUAUAUUUAAACUAUAAUUUUUAUACAAUUUUGGCCAAAUGUAUUUUCAAGGAGUUUAAAUAAAAAUGAUUUUUAAAAGCCCUUGUCAACAAUUUGUUGCUAUCUUCUUCCUUUCUCUAUUGGGUUAUUAUACAAAAGCACUUUCUAUCCUAAGUUUCUGUCCAUCAUCAUUAUCUCUCCGCAUCAGUUUACUUUAGGUUUCAGGUUGUGUCUACACACAUUUUCAUUUUUUGUUUUACAUAACUAUUAUGUAAUGUUCUUUACUUAAUACUUAAUACAUAAAAAGAUUCAAAAGCUAGAUACCUUUUUAAAAUUAGAAAAAAAAAAAAAAAAAAACGUACACUAAGAUUAGAUAAAUUGCUUAUUUUACUUGAAAUUAGACAGAUGUUAUAUUCUAAUAAUAUCAUGUCGGUGAUACUCUAUUCCUAGAAUUUAUGAAUAAUGCAAUCCUUAAGAUGAAAAGUCAUAGUCUAUUAUAUUCUAACUUAAUUGGUACACUUGAUUAAAAGUUCUAAAUGCUCAUAUACGACUCGUUUACCUUUGAAGAAGAACUUACAAGAAAAGGAGUCCAUUUUAAGCCACACAUCAAAUUUCCUAAGAAGAAGUAUGUUUAGAAUUCUUUUAUGAAUUUUCCUAAAAAAAAAGAACAUUAUUUUGAGUAUACAUUCCAACCCAUAUAUGUCUCUAUAAGCUAUAUACACUUUAUAGGGGCUACUGUUGGCUCUUUCUAGUGUUUAAAAACAGAAGUUUCAGCCCUUCGUUUACUCAUUGAAGAAAGAUUGAAUUUGAAUAUCAAAACCAAUCCACAUGAAGAAAGGGCUAUUGAUUUUGUUCCUCUUCUCCAUUCUCUGCCUCUAUCUUCUUCCAUUUUGCCUAUGCGAAACCAAUUUCACUACCAAAGCUGAUGAUCAUAAUAAGCAGCUGAAGCAGGGGAGGCCCAGAAAAGGAUCCACAGAUUUACAGGGCAGUGAAGAAUUACAUGGUGGAGCAGCUGUGGCGACGGUUAUGCGAGCAAAAGCAGUUUACGGCGGUGCGAACGACAUUCACCACGGCCGCUCCAAGAAUGAUGCUAACUCUUUACGGAUCAAAUCAAUUUCUUCGUUGGUGUGGAAAGUUUCAUUUGGAUUCCUUGGUUUCUGUCUUAUUGUCAAAGGUUUUUAAGCACCAGAAGCUCUGUUGUAGGGUUUCAGCAGAGCAGUUGUAAGUGUCAUGGUUAUGCAAUGGCUUAUUAUAAACCUUGUUUAUAGCCAAAUGUUAAUUUUGGAAAACUUGAUUUUGAAGCUUCAUAACGCUUCAUUCUCUACACUCUUUUCCUUUGUAGACCAGAAUCUUGUUCUUCCAAGUCUGUUUCCCAAGGUUCCAAGUUAGUAAUUUGUAAUUUCAUUUUGUCUUUUGAAUCAGAAAUAAAUUGGUUUUAGCA